CCCAAGUCUCUCCCGCUGUCAGCCUCACUCUUGGGGCCGGUACACGUACCCCACGGCCACCGGUCCGCCGGAAGGGUAGCACACUCCUGCCCCACAGGGCUCGCGGCAGCGGGGACAUAGCUCUCCGGGGACCUCUCUACCCAGAGGCCGGGGUACUCACUGCUCCAGCGGGUGCCUGGUCAGCGCGGAGGUUCUGUCCGGCGUCCACUUCGUCUGUUCUUGUGCGAGCAGCCCACGCCAGGUCCCCCCAAUGAGUGCGUUAUUCCGCUCCACCUUCUGGGUCCCCA